CCUGAGGAAACCCACACAGAAAGGAUCCUGGUUGCCCGGCCAGGGAAUCGAACCCAGGCCCUUCUUGUUGUGAGAUGGACAGGAGUGGCAAGAACUGCAGAGAACCGAGGUAUGAAAAAGCCAGUUGAGGAGGAUGGGGAGAUUUCUGAGCAGUUUCAAGUUUUUUCAAGUUGGCAACCCUAUCCCCGCAGACGGAUGGUCAGGUGAAUGGUGCUUCCGUUGGCGAUGCCGUACUCCUUCAGCUGCUUCCCGGCUUCGAGCUGCCUGCCGCCGAAGAUCAGCCUCUGCUGGUCAAUGGGGGUGCCCUCCUUGUUGUAGACCUCGCUCUGCAGCUCGUCGACC